rnacentral:rRNA from 1 species
GUGUCAGCCGCCGCGGUAAGACGAAGGUGGCGAGCGUUGUUCGGAAUUACUGGGCUUAAAGGGCGCGUAGGCGGCCCGUCAAGUGCUUUGUGAAAUCCCUCGGCUCAACCGAGGAAUUGCUUGGCAGACUGACGGGCUUGAGGUAGGCAUGGGUGAGUGGAACUCUUGGUGGAGCGGUGGAAUGCGUAGAUAUCAAGAGGAACGCCGGCGGUGAAGACGACUCACUGGGCCUGUCCUGACGCUGAGGCGCGAAAGCCAGGGGAGCAAACGGGAUUAGAUACCCGUGUAGUCC